CAGUGUUCUUUGUCGGAUUGUUAUUCAUGUUACGUGUUGUUGUCUGCCCGCGUGUCUGCCCGCGUGUCUGCCCGCGUGUCUGCCCGCGUGUCUGCCCAUCCCCUGAUUGUCCCCUGAUUGGUUUGUGUUUUGUUACUUUGUAUUUCUGUAUGUUUAUUAGCUUUUGUUAAUAAAGCUCUCUUUUUGGUUAAAAUCAUGAUCUGCGUCCUGCAAUUGGGUCCUCUCCUGAGACAUACCGUGACAGUACAAUCCGACCAAAAAAUGGACCCAGCAGUGCUUGACGACGAGGAUUAUUUUCAUCUUAAUGUCGAGAUAAUAUGUAUUUUGCGGGAAUGGAAAGAGGCCGCAUGUGGAAGGGACCAGCAGGCCCUUCUUCAAGAGGCCCGCAGGGAGGCAGCAAAGAAGCCCUGGUUGAGGAGUCUUUUGCCUGAGGUACUCAGGGAUUUCCUCAACCAUGCCAAUCGGUCUGCCUUUCCAUCAGCUCGGCAGACCCCGGCCGUCUCCCUGCCGCCUCUGCAGACCCCGGCCAUCUACUUGCCGUGUCCCUGCAGACCCCGGCCGCCUCUGCUGACCCCGGCCAUCUCCCUGCAGACCCCGGCCGUGUACUUGCCGCCUCUGCAGACCCCGGCCGUCUCCCUGCCGCCUCUGCAGACCCCGGCCAUCUCCCUGCCGCCUCUGCAGACCCCGGCCGCCUCUGCAGACCCCGGCCAUCUCCCUGCCGCCUCUGCAGACCCCGGCCGUCUACUUUCCACCUCUGAAGACCCCGGCCAUCUUCCUGCCGCCUCUGCAGACCCCAGCUGUUCCCCAGCUGCCCCUCGAGGCCCCAGCUGUUCCCCAGCUGCCCCUCGAGGCCCCAGCUGUUCCCCAGCUGCCCCUCGAGGUCCCAGCUGUUGGGCAGCGACAGCCUCUUGUUCCUGCUGCCGGGCCACAACAGCCCCCUAUUUCCGCUGUUGGGCCACGAAAGCCUCCACUUCCUGCUGCCGGACCUCCGCAGACUUCAGUUCCUGCUGCCGGACCUCCGCAGACUUCAGUUCCUGCUGCCGGACCUCCGCAGACUUCAGUUCCCGCUGCCGGACCUCCGCAGACUUCAGUUCCCGCUGCCAGCCUCCUGAGAGGCUCCGCGCCAGGCUCCGCGCCGGCCUCCGCGCCGGCCCCCGCCUCCUGAGUGGCUCCAGCCCAGGCUCGCCCCCCGCCUCCAGAGUGGUCCCGUCCGCCUUGCCGUCCUCCAGAGCAGUCUCCUGCCCCGCCUCCUGCGGGCCUUAGUGUUUUUUGUUACUUUGUAUUUCUGUAUGUUUAUUAGCUCUUGUUAAUAAAGCUCUCUUUUUGGUUAAAAUCAUCAUCUGCGUCCUGCAAUUGGGUCCUCUCCUGAGACAUACCUUGACAUAUUGACAUGGACAAAAAAAUCUAAU
rnacentral:lncRNA from 1 species